UUGCUCCAGGCGUCGAGCGGCGGACGGGUGAGUAAUGCAUAGGAAUCUGCCCGGUAGUGGGGGAUAACCUGGGGAAACCCAGGCUAAUACCGCAUACGUCCUACGGGAGAAAGCAGGGGAUCUUCGGACCUUGCGCUAUCGGAUGAGCCUAUGUCGGAUUAGCUUGUUGGUGAGGUAAUGGCUCACCAAGGCGACGAUCCGUAGCUGGUCUGAGAGGAUGAUCAGCCACAUCGGGACUGAGACACGGCCCGAACUCCUACGGGAGGCAGCAGUGGGGAAUAUUGGACAAUGGGCGAAAGCCUGAUCCAGCCAUGCCGCGUGUGUGAAGAAGGCUUUCGGGUUGUAAAGCACUUUCAGUGAGGAAGAAGGCCUUGGGGCUAAUACCCCCGAGGAAGGACAUCACUCACAGAAGAAGCACCGGCUAACUCCGUGCCAGCAGCCGCGGUAAUACGGAGGGUGCGAGCGUUAAUCGGAAUUACUGGGCGUAAAGCGCGCGUAGGCGGCGUGAUAAGCCGGUUGUGAAAGCCCCGGGCUCAACCUGGGAACGGCAUCCGGAACUGUCAGGCUAGAGUGCAGGAGAGGAAGGUAGAAUUCCCGGUGUAGCGGUGAAAUGCGUAGAGAUCGGGAGGAAUACCAGUGGCGAAGGCGGCCUUCUGGACUGACACUGACGCUGAGGUGCGAAAGCGUGGGUAGCAAACAGGAUUAGAUACCCUGGUAGUCCACGCCGUAAACGAUGUCGACUAGCCGUUGGGGUCCUUGAGACCUUUGUGGCGCAGUUAACGCGAUAAGUCGACCGCCUGGGGGAGUACGGCCGCAAGGUUAAAACUCAAAUGAAUUGACGGGGGCCCGCACAAGCGGUGGAGCAUGUGGUUUAAUUCGAUGCAACGCGAAGAACCUUACCUACCCUUGACAUCGUGCGAACUUUCAGAAGAUGGAUUGGUGCCUUCGGGAACGCACAGACCGGUGCUGCAUGGCUGUCGUCAGCUCGUGUUGUGAAAUGUUGGGUUAAGUCCCGUAACGAGCGCAACCUUGUCCUAUUUGCCAGCGAUUCGGUCGGGAACUCUAGGGAGACUGCCG
rnacentral:rRNA from 1 species